rnacentral:rRNA from 1 species
GAUGAACGCUGGCGGCGUGCCUAAUACAUGCAAGUCGAGCGAACAGACGAGGAGCUUGCUCCUCUGACGUUAGCGGCGGACGGGUGAGUAACACGUGGAUAACCUACCUAUAAGACUGGGAUAACUUCGGGAAACCGGAGCUAAUACCGGAUAAUAUAUUGAACCGCAUGGUUCAAUAGUGAAAGACGGUUUUGCUGUCACUUAUAGAUGGAUCCGCGCCGCAUUAGCUAGUUGGUAAGGUAACGGCUUACCAAGGCAACGAUGCGUAGCCGACCUGAGAGGGUGAUCGGCCACACUGGAACUGAGACACGGUCCAGACUCCUACGGGAGGCAGCAGUAGGGAAUCUUCCGCAAUGGGCGCAAGCCUGACGGAGCAACGCCGCGUGAGUGAUGAAGGUCUUCGGAUCGUAAAACUCUGUUAUUAGGGAAGAACAAAUGUGUAAUUAACUAUGCACGUCUUGACGGUACCUAAUCAGAAAGCCACGGCUAACUACGUG